UACGUAGGGUGCGAGCGUUGUCCGGAAUUACUGGGCGUAAAGAGCUCGUAGGUGGUUUGUCGCGUUGUUCGUGAAAACUCACAGCUCAACUGUGGGCGUGCGGGCGAUACGGGCAGACUGGAGUACUGCAGGGGAGACUGGAAUUCCUGGUGUAGCUGUGGAAUGCGCAGAUAUCAGGAGGAACACCGGUGGCGAAGGCGGGUCUCUGGGCAGUAACUGACGCUGAGGAGCGAAAGCGUGGGGAGCGAACAGG
rnacentral:rRNA from 1 species